UAGGGAAUCUUCCGCAAUGAACGAAAGUCUGACGGAGCAACGCCGCGUGAGUGAAGAAGGAUUUCGGUUCGUAAAACUCUGUUGUUAGGGAAGAAAAAAUGUAUAGUAACUAUAUACAAAAGAGACGGUACCUAACCAGAAAGCCACGGCUAACUACGUGCCAGCAGCCGCGGUAAUACGUAGGUGGCAAGCGUUGUCCGGAAUUAUUGGGCGUAAAGCGCGCGCAGGUGGUUUAGAAAGUCUGAUGUGAAAGCCCACGGCUCAACCGUGGAGGGUCAUUGGAAACUAAUAAACUUGAGUGCAGGAGAGAAAAGUGGAAUUCCUAGUGUAGCGGUGAAAUGCGUAGAGAUUAGGAGGAACACCGGUGGCGAAAGCGGCUUUUUGGCCUGCAACUGACACUGAGGCGCGAAAGCGUGGGGAGCAAACAGG
rnacentral:rRNA from 1 species